ensembl:misc_RNA Metazoa_SRP Metazoan signal recognition particle RNA
GCCAGGUGCAGUGGCACAUGCCUGUAGUCCCAGCUACUCAGGAGACUGAGACAGGAGGAUGGCUUGAGUCCAGGAUUUCUGGGCUAUAGUGUGCUAUGGCGAUCAGGUGUCCGCACUAAGUUUGGCAUCCAUAUGGUGACCUCCCGGGAGUGGAGGACUACCAGGUAGGUUGCCUAAGGAGGGGUGAACUGGACCAGGUCGGGAACAGAGUAGGUCAAGAAAUAAAUUGCUGGACAUCAGACUCCAGAAGUUUUGGUCCAGCACCAGCUAGGUCGUGUU